rnacentral:sRNA from 1 species
UUCGAUCCUGGUUCUUGUCAGAAGUUCUCUCCAAGUUUUCUCCUGUUAAUUGCCUCGUAAGAUUUGUAACACGUACUAAUUUCUAUUAAUUUUUUUUGAGGUAAUUAUCAUGGCAACAGGAACCGUUAAAUGGUUUAACGAAUCCAAGGGCUUCGGCUUCAUCGCUCCUUCCGAUGGCACGAAAGAUGUUUUUGUGCAUUUUUCUGCUAUCGCUAGCGAAGGUUUUCGCACUCUGGCUGAAGGCCAGGAAGUGUCCUUCGACGUAGAGAGCGGACCCAAAGGCCCGCAGGCAAUUAACGUAAAGGCUUAGUCGCCCAUUCGUUUUUGCCUUGAGUAGCCCCGCGACGUAUCGCGGGGCUUACUUUC